rnacentral:rRNA from 1 species
UGGGGAAUAUUGGACAAUGGGCGAAAGCCUGAUCCAGCCAUGCCGCGUGUGUGAAGAAGGUCUUCGGAUUGUAAAGCACUUUAAGUGGGGAGGAAGGGCAUUAACCUAAUACGUUAGUGUUUUGACGUUACCGACAGAAUAAGCACCGGAUAACUCUGUUCCAGCAGCCGCGGUAAUACAGAGGGUGCAAGCGUUAAUCGGAAUUACUGGGCGUAAAGCGCGCGUAGGUGGUUUGUUAAGUUGGAUGUGAAAUCCCCGGGCUCAACCUGGGAACUGCAUUCAAAACUGACUGACUAGAGUAUGGUAGAGGGUGGUGGAAUUUCCUGUGUAGAGGUGAAAUGCGUGGAUAUAUGAAGGAACACCAGUGGCGAAGGCGACCACCUGGACUAAUACUGACACUGAGGUGCGAAAGCGUGGGGAGCAAACA